AUAUAUAUAUAUAUAUAUAUAUAUGCAUGGAACAUAAAAAUGAAUUCAGGAGUAAGGACUCUUCAAAUUAGAUUAGAAAGAUAAAUCAAAGCAAGAAAUUUCACUAAAGAUACUACAAUGCAUGGACCAAGAUUAUGUGCGAAUAAACAAAAUAAUAUAAGAAUCAAAAUAAGAAAAGAAAUGAAGACUAUGAUGAGAAGCAUAUCAAAGGAGACGAAUAUUAACAAAUUUAUGGAACUGAAAGAUGAUUAUUUUGAAUGGGUGCUUAGAAGAUAUAUAUAAUUUUUUAGUUGUUGUUCUUUUUAUAGUGAAAAAGAAAUAUUAUAUGGACCCAUUGAUACAGAAAUCAUGCAGGAAUCAAUACCAAUAUCGCAAUAAAAAAAUAGAUAGUAGUCAAAAUAUGAUACAUUAAGUGGAAAACUUAAUUUCAGGGUUGUUAAAUGUACUGGAAGAACUUAUACCAGAUGUUCCGGGACUUGCUGCAAAAAAUUCGGGAACGUGUAGAUGUGGCAUGAAAAUAAUGCUGUGAUAAAAGAAAAAAAUUUCUUAUACAUACAACCCCUCAUUUCUGGUUAAUAGGCCUUUGAAGUUGCAAAAUCAGAAUUUAUAUUUUCUAAAUUAUACAUUCAAACAUCAUGAAUUUUUGAUGGAUGAUUACAAACGUCCAUGUAUUGUGUUUGACGGAAUAAAUAAUUCUACACUACUAUCUGAAAGCCAGGGGCGACUCAUACACAAUGAUUAAGUCCGGUUUCCUUGGCAUGUACAAUGAUCUAAAGACUACUUACCUUGUAAACCAUAAAUUUUAACGAGUUAAACAUAGUACCUUCUUGUGGGAAAAAGCAAUGAAAAAUGUAUUUUUGCUAUCUUUAGAUUGUACAGGUUGUCCCUGUAAAAGUUACGAAUUAUUAACCAUUGGACUUAAGCCGCCCUUGGCCUUCAGAGAUUAGUGUAGAAUUAUUUAUUCCAUCAAACACACUACAUGGACGUACGUAAUCAUACAUUAAAAAUUCCUAAUAUUCGAAUGUAUACUUUAGAAAAUAUAAGUUCUAAUUUUGCAACUUCAAAGGCCUAUAAUUCAGAAACGAGGUGUCGUAUGAGAAAAUAUUUUUGUCACAGCAUUAUUUUCCACUCGUUCCCGAAUUUUUUGCAUAAAAUCCCAGAACACUCUGUGGAUGAAAAUAUGUGGAAGAUUAUUGAUCGAAAGACCAAAUACCAAUAUCACAGAAAAGAUACUAUGGAAAUACAGAACAAAGUUGAAGAUAUUACAGAUAACUAAUAAAUAAUUGAGAUGGGGAAAUUUAGGGUAAAAGGUAUGGUAAUGUACCGACAAAGAAGAUUUAAGAAUAGAUAAGCCUUUGAAAAUUUUCACUACAAAGAUUAUACAGGGUGAUUCAUUAAGAAUGUCCAAUCUCUGAACUGUAGAUUCUAGACCUCAAAAUAUGGUGAUUCUGCUCAACAUGCCUUAUGCAAAUAUUGCUAGUUUCCGAGAUACGGGGUGUUCAAAGUUAAUUAUUAUAAUAUAAUAAUUAAUAAAAGAUCUUUACGAAAGCGGAUCAUAAAGUGUAUUGAAGUAAACGGCGGGCAUAUAACAAAGCAAAUAACUCUAUAACAGAUUGAGUUACACGAAUCAAAGAAGAGUAACUUUUUUGGUAGAAUUUAACGCUUUUUAAUAUUUUUUCAUUAUUUUAGUUUUUUAUCCCAAAAAAAGUUUACUUUGAUUUAAUUAACACAAACAAAUGUAACUAGCGCCAUCUAUUAGCAAUGUUAAAAUAACGUGAAUUUUCCAAUUUUCAAAGAGAAAUUGUGAAAACAUAAACAAUUAUUGCGAAAAUCAAAACACCCCGUAUCACGGAAACUAGCAAUAUUUGCAUAAGGCAUGUUGAGCAGAAUCAUCAUAUUUUGAGGUCUAGAAUCUACAGUCAGAGAUUGGACAUUCUUAAUGAAUCACCCUGUAUUAAAUAUUUCAAGAAGAAACGAGGAGUAAUCAUAAGAAAAGAGUUUUAAUAUUUUAGUAAUUUCUUCAUAUAUAUUGUGAUUUGUAGAAGAUAUGAAUUAGAAACUUAGAAAUGUGCAAGCCGCGAACUUUAAUGGUUUUAUCGAGCAUAUUAAAAAUUUUGACUGGGGUUCCUCUAACAAUACCGAACCCAGUAAAAAAAGAGAAAUGUAUUACCCGAAUAAAAAGUUAGUAAGAGUUAUAAUAUAUUUUUUUAAUUACUAUAUAAUUAAAUAUAUUUUUUUAGAAAUCCACCUAGUAUAAACAUGCUAAAACACCACUCAAUUUGUGUUAAUUAAUUUUUUAAAUUCGCCAAAUGAGAAAAGUGCGAAGGAAAAUUAACAUAAGUGUAAAUUUUUAGUGUGAACUAAUUAAAAUUUUUAUUUAUU